AGACAGACAGAGAGAGCAAGCAAGAGCAUGAGCCAGGGGAAGGAAGCAGAGGGAGAGGAAGAAGCAGACUCUGUGCUGAGCAGGGAGCCCAAUGCGGGGAUAUGGAGCUGAAUCUCAGAACCCUGCAAUCACAACAUGAGCCAAAGGCAGAUGCUUUACCCACCGAGCCACCCAGAUGGUACUAAUUUGAACACAUCAUUCCAUGCUUCCUGGAGUAAUCACACAGCUUGCUUAGAUUUUCUAAACAUGACUGAACUGUGAUGAAGCGAUCAACAUUCACUGGCAAGCUUAUUUUUCAGUGCUAUCUGAUGCCUUGCAUUACUUACCUGCUUGCCCUGACUUUCACAACAAAAUACUGCAGAUGACUAUGCCUACAAUAAGGAUAACCCUGAUUAUGUUCCACAGAUGAUGUAGAAUGGAGGCAAUUACCUGAAAAAGGACUACUUGGGGGAAGGAAUGAUAGCUCAAUCUCUCCAGAAGAUAUGUUUUUCUGAAUAUCUGCAAAAUGCCAGAUAAAGAAGAUAAAGUCUUUGGGCCAGGAGAAGAGUAAGGGGUUAUCCCUGUGUAAGAAGCUGGAAAACCAAAAGAACACAAUUUAAACCAUUUUACUGGACAACUCUAGGGGGUACCUUGAAUUCCUCUGCAGAAUGCCACAGAAUUCAGUGAGUUGCAACCCCUGAUCUUGUGCAAUGUCAUGUGUUCACCCUCAGGGAAGAGGGAGUGAGAAGUAAACCCACCAUACAAAAGAGGACAGAGAAUAAUUUUUUUUUUCCUCACUCCACUCUGGAUGAAGAAGUGAAAAAGAAAGAAAAAUUAAGCAGUUUUGGAUCUUCAUGCCUAUCCCUAAGAGCCUAUGUGGCUCAAAUCCAUGCUACCUGAAAAACCUUCUCUUCAGAACUUAAAAUGAAUCUGUAAUGGAAUUGCUGUUACUCAAAAGCAACUAGCAGAAGUAAACAUAAAUCCUCUCAGGAAGAACUCAGCUUCUACUUAGGCCACAUGAAUGCACCAUGGAUAAAUUUCUUUUUUUUUUUUUUAAUUUUUAUUUAUUUAUGAUAGUCACACACACACAUACAGAGAGAGAGGCACAGA